GGUUGGUCCGAGUACGGUGGUGUUCACAACUAAUUGAUCACAACCAGUUUCAGAUUCCUUUGUUCCUUCUCCACUCCCACUGCUUCACUUGACUAGCCUUAA
ensembl:misc_RNA Y_RNA Y RNA